UAGCGUAGGGGCGAGCGUUGUCCGAAGUUACUGGGCGUAAAGCGCGCGGUAGGCGGGGGAUUAAGUGAGAGGGUGAAAGGCUGGGGCUCAACCCCAUGCAGUGCCUCUCAUACUGGUCUUGCUUGAGGGCGGUGAGGGAGGAAGUGGAAGUGGACUGGUGUAGCGGUGAAAUGCGUAGAGUAUCAGUCGGAACACCGGUGGCGAAGGCGGCUUCUUGGGCCGUUCCUGACGGCUGAGGCGGCGAAAGCUGGGGGACGCGAACGGG
rnacentral:rRNA from 1 species